rnacentral:rRNA from 1 species
GACGUAGGGCGCGAGCGUUGUCCGGAUUUAUUGGGCGUAAAGAGCUCGUAGGCGGCUUGUCGCGUCGACUGUGAAAACCCGUGGCUCAACCAUGUGGUCUGCAGUCGAUACGGGCAGGCUAGAAUUCGGUAGGGGAGACUGGAAUUCCUGGUGUAGCGGUGAAAUGCGCAGAUAUCAGGAGGAACACCGGUGGCGAAGGCGGGUCUCUGGGCCGACAUUGACGCUGAGGAGCGAAAGCGUGGGGAGCGAACAGG